rnacentral:misc_RNA from 1 species
UUUUGGCUACACGCGACUUGCCUUGCAUUUUGAGCAUGGUUGGUGGCUGAUAGCUGUGUGUUCUCGGGGAUGUCUACCGUAAAGGUGCAUGAGUGGUGUUUGGUUUGUUACGGGUGGAUGGCUGUCUGCUUGCGCACCAACUUCCACCCGACAUACCUCUUCAGAUUUGUGUCAAUGCUUGUAUUGCAUUAACGCAUCGUGGGUUUCUUGUGUUACAUGCCUAAUCAAUGGUAUCGUUUGAUGAAAUCGUGGCAAUCUUCAUCUUGUGUCGCACAUGCGAUGUGAGGUGAACUUGGAAGUAACCUUUGUAACCCACUCUUUCUAUUGCGAAGUCAUUGAUUUUGUGGUUCACUAAGUGUUGCUUGGUCUCAUUGAUAUUGAACGUUUUGUGGGCAUGAGUUCUUUCGUUAGCUACUUGUUUGCCCUAGUKAAGCUUUUCAAAUACGAUUUCCUACCGUGUCUUGACGCGGUAGGAUGCAUCGAAUAUGAAUG